rnacentral:rRNA from 1 species
AUUGAACGCUGGCGGCAGGCCUAACACAUGCAAGUCGAGCGAGCGGCGGACAGGUGAGUAAUGUCUGGGAAACUGCCUGAUGGAGGGGGAUAACUACUGGAAACGGUAGCUAAUACCGCAUACCAUCAGAUGUGCCCAGAUGGGAUUAGCUAGUAGGUGGGGUAACGGCUCACCUAGGCGACGAUCCCUAGCUGGUCUGUGAGGAUGACCAGGAAAACUGGAAAUGAGACACGGGCCAGACUCAUACGGGAGGCAGCAGUGGGGAAUAUUGCACAAUGGGAGCAAGCCUGAUGCAGCCAUGCCGGGUGUGUGAAGAAGGCCUUCGGGCUGUAAAGCACUUUCAGCGGAGAGGCGUUACCCGCAGAAGAAGCACCGGCUAACUCCGUGCCAGCAGCCGCGGUAAUUC